AGCAGGCAGGCAGAGCUCUGCCCAACGAGGCCCGGGCCCCUUCACCCCGCUCGGCGGCGAGCCUCGGGAGCGCGCGCGUGCGCUCCUCGGAACGUCUGGCUGGCGGCGGAGCCGAGCCCGAGCCAGUGCUGGAGCAGGAGCUGAAGGGGCAGGAGCUGGGUUGGGGAGCGGCUGCGGGAGCCGCGUGAAUAAGGGGGGCGGGUUUCCAGCGCAGCGCCGGCAGAGUCCCCGGGGUUACAAAAGCCGCAGAUCGCGGUAGACUUCUGGCUUGCGAACCGGUGCCGCUCUUACCCUCAAACAAACAGCGCUCGCAAAGACCUUUGGAAUUAUUUUCCUUAUUGUUUUUAAAAGCGUUGUUAUUUUUAUUAUUUUGAAUGGAGAUGACUCCGAGUCCGAGGGUGACUGUCUGUGUAACAAGAUGGGCUUUGCUGUUACCUUUGUGGGGAAGAAUAGUGGCUUGAUUUUCCACCUCUGGUCCUUUUUGAGCUCAGGAGCCCUUAGACGGUGCAUGUAGGGAGUAAGCAUUAGUGAAGACCUGGGUUUUCAUUUAAAAGAGAUAUUAGAUCACUGAUUAUUGCCGCCUUUCUCCGCUCUUGCGGAAGAGGCUCCGAGUCACCCCGAGAUUUCUCCCGCACCUUUUUUUUUUUUUAAAUCACUUUAAAAGGGUUGCAAAAGGAUCCCCAACCGUCCCCAACCCAACGCCGCCGAGUUGAGCAGCAGCCGGAGGCGGCGUGGAAUUGAAGCGCUCUCGCUCCUCUGCCUGCCCGAGCUGGGAAAAUGGAGGCUGUGAUUGAGAAGGAAUGCAGUGCUCUGGGAGGGCUCUUCCAGACCAUUAUCAGCGACAUGAAGGGGAGCUAUCCAGUUUGGGAAGAUUUUAUAAACAAAGCAGGAAAGCUACAGUCCCAGCUCCGGUAAGUGAUUUUUCUUCCAGGCUGUUCCAGAACUGUUGUUUUCAUUGGACUGAUUGGACAUCAUUAGAAACAAUUUAAAUGUUGUGUAUACAAAUGUAUAGAACAUGAUGGAACUUUUUCUUAAAUUAAUGCCAUAUUAAGGUUUAGUAUAUUAAAAUGUCAUAUCAUCCUAAAAGUCCAGUUUAAUGAACAGGACUCUGGACUCUAAAGAAUUAAGAGACUGGUAUUUUAAUCAAUGGCUUAACCAUUAAACUUAUAGAAAAUCACUUAGUUUCCCCAUUAUACAUUGAAUUCUUGCUGUAUCUACUUUAUAGCAUCAUUAAGAAGUUCAUAUGAAAGUUCAUAUGAAAUGAUGUAAUUUAUUGUGAAAAGUAUAAAAGAACUAUUACUGACAAAAGGGAAAAUUAAAAGAUAAGUGGAUAAGUAGUCUAGACUUGAAGAUAGAAAGAACCCAGUUUCAAAUACUACUUCAGAUGCUUAUCAGCAAAUCAGUUAAAUUUCCUAAGGUUCAAUUGUCUGUCUACAAGUGGGGAUAAUAAUAAGCAUCUAAUUCACAGAUUUGUCCUGAGAUUAAAAUGAGAUUUUGUAUUGUAAAGCACUUUGCCAACUGGAAAGUGCUAUAUAAAUGUAACUGCUGUUAUUAUUACUUUAUGGCAAGUUUUUACAUGUCUUAAUAUAAAAUAUUUAUAUAAGUAAACACACAACCUUUAUUACACCAUUUGAUGUGAACUAGAAAUGCUUAUUUAACCAUCAUUUAAAUAAGUUAAAGCAUUUAAAACAUGACUGUAUUAAAAUACUUAUUUCUUUAAUUAUCAUUCACUGUAUUUGGUGAUUUUAUUGACUACUUUAACUUUAGAAAUAUGGUUUCUUAGUGAACCUACAAAUUAAAUAUUUUGGUGACUAAGCCUCUAUGGUGGCAGGAUUACUAGAAAGAGUCAUCAAUAAGCGCUCUUAGCUCAGCAAUUCUGGGUACAUGAAGGACAGGGGAUGAAGAGAUUCAUUGUUCCUUUAUAGUUAAAUAGAAUGAAUCUGUAAUUCUCCCCCUUCCUCCCUUCCCACUUCAAUCCAUGAGACUUCUAGAUAACUUUGUCGCUUAUUGGUUUAUGGACAAGUACUGGUUCAUGAUACUUAUUGUCAGAUACUUUUAUUGUUUAAAAUCUGUAAACUCAAAUAAAUAAAUGUUAAAAAUGUGUGUAUGUGUAUAUUUAUCCUUCCAUUCCUUCCUGCUUUUCUCAAACCUCACAAACCAUGGGUAAUUAUCUCAAAUCAUAGAACUGAGAUAACUUGCUGAUUUUCACCAUAGUUUGGUUAGGAGAUUACUACUUCAAACUACACACUUGGGAUUCCCCUUACUGUCAGGGAACACCAGAAGUUGAGUGGGCUUUUAAUAUGGGUUGUAUCUUCCAGUUGCCAAAUCCCUCAUUAGUUCUGUUCAGGACACACAGGCCUGGAAAUUCUGAAACCGA
ensembl:lncRNA